rnacentral:rRNA from 1 species
UCUGACCAGCCAUGCCGCGUGCAGGAAGACGGCCCUACGGGUUGUAAACUGCUUUUAUACCGGAAUAAACCUAUUUACGUGUAAAUAGCUGAAUGUACGGUAAGAAUAAGGAUCGGCUAACUCCGUGCCAGCAGCCGCGGUAAUACGGAGGAUCCAAGCGUUAUCCGGAUUUAUUGGGUUUAAAGGGUGCGUAGGUGGCCUGUUAAGUCAGGGGUGAAAGACGGUAGCUCAACUAUCGCAGUGCCCUUGAUACUGAUGGGCUUGAAUGGACUAGAGGUAGGCGGAAUGUGACAAGUAGCGGUGAAAUGCAUAGAUAUGUCACAGAACACCGAUUGCGAAGGCAGCUUACUAUGGUCCGAUUGACACUGAGGCACGAAAGCGUGGGGAUCAAACAGGAUUAGAUACCCUGGUAGUCCACGCCCUAAACGAUGAAUACUCGAUGUUGGCGAUAUACGGUCAGCGUCUAAGCGAAAGCGUUAAGUAUUCCACCUGGGGAGUACGCCCGCAAGGGUGAAACUCAAAGGAAUUGACGGGGGCCCGCACAAGCGGAGGAGCAUGUGGUUUAAUUCGAUGAUACGCGAGGAACCUUACCCGGGCUUGAAAGUUAGUGAAUGUAGCAGAGACGCUACAGUC